GAUGAAGAACGUAGCGAAAUGCGAUAAGUAAUGUGAAUUGCAGAAUUCAGUGAAUCAUCGAAUCUUUGAACGCACAUUGCGCCCGCCAGUAUUCUGGCGGGCAUGCCUGUUCGAGCGUCAUUUCAACCAUCAAGCCCCCGGCUUGUGUUGGAGCCCUGCGGCUGCCGCAGCCUCCCAAAACCAGUGGCGGGCUCGCUAUCACACCGAGUGCAGUAGUUUACUCUUCGCUCAGGGCGUGUGGCGGGUGCUAGCCGUGAAACCCCCAACUUCUCAAGGUUGACCUCGGAUCAGGUAGGAAUACCCGCUGAACUUAAGCAUAUCAAUAAGCGGAGGA
rnacentral:misc_RNA from 1 species